UCCAAGAAAGUCAAUCUCGUCGAGGAAGA
rnacentral:sRNA from 1 species